UUUGGAUGUGAAAACAUGAUUGAUGGUGUUAAAAAGAGGAGGUAGACCUAAAAAAGGAGUUAUCUCAAAAGAUUUAGAAUAUUUCAUAAUCCAGGCCGUUCUAGCAAAAGAAAAAUAAAUAAUGGAAGUUGAAAAUCCGUAUAGGUGAUACCAUCUAAAAGACUAAUGCUUACUAGAUCCUUAGUAUAUUAGAGACAAAACCACUAGAGUAUAUUUAAGAAAUUUUACUGCUAGAUAAUCCUAAAAUACUCCUAAAAUACUAAGUAUUGAAAUAUUGUGGAUUCAGCAGAGCAAGUUGUAUGCUAUGAGAUCUAUAUUAAAAUAGAGAGUUUAUUGUCAGAUAUUGGUGUUAAUCAUUGGUUUGUUUUCAGAAUUCCCUUCCAGUGCGGGAUGUUGUUUUAGAAUUUGCAUUCUCAUAUUUUUAAGGAAUUAUGACGUGAUUGAGCUUAAAUGGAGAAACAUGGUUAGUGAGGAUUCAUAUGCUCAGAUCCCAACUUGUUUGGGAUUGAGGCAUAGUUGUUGCAUAUUCGUACAGAACUCUAUCAUGGGAAGUGGUCGUCUAGUUUUGGUCUUUCUUUUUAAAUUUCUUUGCCCUGAGAAACCUUGAAUUCAUAAAAAGUAUUAUUCCUGGUUGGUCUGUAAAAUUUUGGUAUCAUUCCUCGAGUUGCAGCAUCAGUCUUGUAAAAUAGCUUUCUUUCUGACGUAUGAUUUUGUGAUAGAUUUUUACCACAGUUACCUAGCUGCAACGACGAAAGAUUUGUGAGAAUAGAAAAUGUAGUAAGAAGUAUUUUGGCCCCAAAAUUGUGAGCAUUAGUUCACAUCGCGUGGUUGAAUGUACCCGGUCCAUCUACGUAGUGGUUAUUUAUCUUUGACUACGUCUGGCAUAAUGCAUGUUUUUGUUUUGCCACUUUGGUUCUUCUCAACCAAAGCCUUUUUUUUCCCCACAUUUCUAACCCUCCCACUCCUAUUUCUUGUCCUUUUGACCUUUUCUUCUAGAAUAACAUGAGCCGACAUUCCCUGUUCCCCCUGUCCACUAGUCUCAUCCACUAUGCAUCUGAAUGAGCAUUUUCAUUGCAGGUGAGUAUUGGUAAACAAUGGAAGGAGUUUCUGGAUUACAAUGACACAAUUGGCUUUAUAUUUCAUGAUGAUGCAAAGAAGCUUGACAGAGCUGCCAAGAAUCGUUAUUCCGUGUAGUUCUAUUGUUGUAACAGGGAAUGCAAUCAAUACAAUCACACUGCAAGUAUUCUUGUAUUACUGAAGAAUCAGCAGUCACUUGCGGUUGCGUGUUUUACCUCUUGCAUUGGCGUGGAUAAUUUUCGUAUAAGGAAUUUGUUUGGUUUUGAUGUUUUUUGAUUGACUUAAUUGGCCAUAUAUGACUUAUUAGUACCGAUGUAAUAGAGUAUUUGUUGCUGCAUCUGCGAAAUUGACAGCAGUUAGCAUGUUAUGCAUGUUUUUGGCUUUCCUUCCAAUUCAACUUGCUCUUUGAAGAUUAAAAAAAAGUUUCAUGUGGCGGCCUAUUUGAUCGAUGUCA